AGCCACGUCUACAAAGCUCAGCAAAGCUUCACCAUACAGCUUUCCACAACCAACCAAACAACUGCUGUCUCAACAGGCAACUCAACUGAAGGCUUAUCUGGAAGAACAGCUCAAUUUCUGUGGGCGGUUCUAGGCCUGAGCUUUGUGGUUGCUGUGCUCCUGAUACUAAAGAAAGUGCUCACUAAUAAACAACCCCAGCUGCACGUUUAUGAUUCAAUUAAUGAAACCUCUUUAGACCCUCAACCAGUGCCCACUGUUGGCCAACCUCAGGAGCACACCUAUGACUCCAUUAACGACGCUGGAGCAGCUCCACAACCUGAGGUUCUACAUGUUAAGGGAAUAGAGGGAAACAUUGCCGUUCUUCGUUGUGGAAAACUCAGUAAAGGUAGCGUAACCUGGAGCAGAGAAAUUAACGGACAGAA
rnacentral:lncRNA from 1 species